AGUGAACGCUGGCGGUAGGCCUAACACAUGCAAGUCGAACGGCAGCACAGUAAGAGCUUGCUCUUACGGGUGGCGAGUGGCGGACGGGUGAGGAAUACAUCGGAAUCUACUUUUUCGUGGGGGAUAACGUAGGGAAACUUACGCUACUACCGCAUACGACCUACGGGUGAAAGCAGGGGAUCUUCGGACCUUGCGCGAUUGAAUGAGCCGAUGUCGGAUUAGCUAGUUGGCGGGGUAAAGGCCCACCAAGGCGACGAUCCGUAGCUGGUCUGAGAGGAUGAUCAGCCACACUGGAACUGAGACACGGUCCAGACUCCUACGGGAGGCAGCAGUGGGGAAUAUUGCACAAUGGGCGCAAGCCUGAUCCAGCCAUACCGCGUGGGUGAAGAAGGCCUUCGGGUUGUAAAGCCCUGUUGUUGGGAAAGAAAAGCAGCAGGUUAAUACCCCGCUGUUCUGACGGUACCCAAAGAAUAAGCACCGGCUAACUUCGUG
rnacentral:rRNA from 1 species